rnacentral:rRNA from 1 species
UACGAAGGGGGCUAGCGUUGCUCGGAAUUACUGGGCGUAAAGCGCACGUAGGCGGCUUUUUAAGUCGGAGGUGAAAUCCUGGAGCUCAACUCCAGAACUGCCUUCGAUACUGAAGAGCUCGAGUCCGGGAGAGGUGAGUGGAACUGCGAGUGUAGAGGUGAAAUUCGUAGAUAUUCGCAAGAACACCAGUGGCGAAGGCGGCUCACUGGCCCGGUACUGACGCUGAGGUGCGAAAGCGUGGGGAGCAA